UACGGGGGGGGCAAGCGUUGUUCGGAAUUACUGGGCGUAAAGGGUGCGUAGGCGGUCUGUUAAGUUGGAUGUGAAAACUCUGGGCUCAACCCAGAGCCUGCAUCCAAAACUGGCAGGCUAGAGUUCUGGAGGGGGUAGCGGAAUUCCUGGUGUAGCGGUGAAAUGCGUAGAUAUCUGGAGGAACACCGGUGGCGAAGGCGGCAUCCUGGACCGGUAUUGACGCUGAGGCGCGAAAGCCAGGGGAGCAAACGGG
rnacentral:rRNA from 1 species